UACGGAGGAUCCGAGCGUUAUCCGGAUUUACUGGGUUUAAAGGGUGCGUAGGCGGGCGCUUAAGUCAGCGGUGAAAUACGGGGGCUCAACCUUCGAACGGCCGUUGAUACUGGGCGCCUUGGAUUCGGUCGAGGCGGGCGGAAUGCGACAUGUAGCGGUGAAAUGCUUAGAUAUGUCGCAGAACGCCGAUUGCGAAGGCAGCUCGCCAGGCCGACAUUGACGCUGAGGCACGAAAGCGUGGGGAUCAAACAGG
rnacentral:rRNA from 1 species